rnacentral:misc_RNA from 1 species
CAGAGAGAUCUCCAAUGGAAGUAUCAGUGCACUCUAUCGGUGUUGUGCUUACAUGAGAGAAGUUCUUCCACUUAAUUGGCUCAAACCAACGGCUGUCUUGCUCUUCAGGACCUUUCCACUUGGGCGCACCUAUGGCUAUGUGUGCAUCCCAGUGUGGCUGAAGAAUUUUUGGAAGAGACACAAGAUGUUGCAAAUGGAUGGAGAGCCUGUUUUGCUUAAUGCCUUCGAGGCCAAGUCUAAGACCAGUGACUGGCUUACGGCCAACUGUUACCUGAUCUGGGCUGAUAUAGAGCUU